rnacentral:sRNA from 1 species
GGUUUAGUGAGGCUUCCUGACUGGCGCCGAUACUCUGGCAACAGAGCGUCGGAUGCCAGAAAGUUGGUCAAACUUGAUCAUUUAGAGGAAGUAAAAGUCGUAACAAGGUUUCCGUAGGUGAACCUGCGGAAGGAUCAUUACCGAUAAGAAAGCCACAACGAACAAGUCGUUGUCUGUUGCUCUGUGAACCGUACUGGACCUUACUCAGGGGUCGGCCCGGGGGGCCGUUAAAUGGCGAUCGGACGGGAGGCCCGCCCCGCGGGCUCUCGCGGCCGCUUCGCCUGCCCCGCCCUUGUUUUUCAUCAACAACGUACGUGUCUUGUAGUCUGACGUGGAGGCGUCCGCCUCCUGAGAUAGAAAAAAAUGCGAGAGAGACAACUUUUGACGGUGGAUCUCUUGGCUCACGCAUCGAUGAAGAACGCAGCCAGCUGCGAUAAGUAGUGUGAAUUGCAGAAUUCAGUGAAUCAUCGAAUCUUUGAACGCAAAUGGCGCUCUUGGGUUCUCCCAGGAGCAUGUCUGUCUGAGUGUCGGAUUGUCAUCCAUCGCAGGUGCGCGCUCGCUCCCCAGCCACCGUGCGCCGGCGGCGUUGAGGCGUCACGGCCUUCCCCCGGUCGGCCGUGUCCCUCGAAAGGCAGAGAGACUCGCUGUGGUUCGGGGCUGCUUCCCGCAGCGCUCCAGCGGAGGCUAAAAGUGUCAGCACUCCUUCGCGCGCUGCAGGCUCCCCGCUGCGCCCGAGUCGCCUAGGCGAACCAAAGCAACCAAGCUUCUUCUUGACCUCAGAUCAGGCA